GGAAUCUUCCACAAUGGGCGAAAGCCUGAUGGAGCGACGCCGCGUGAGGGAUGAAGGCCUUAGGGUUGUAAACCUCUAAAAGAGGGACGAUAAUGACGGUACCUCUUGAAUAGCACCGGCUAACUCCGUGCCAGCAGCCGCGGUAAUACGGAGGGUGCGAGCGUUAUCCGGAUUUACUGGGUUUAAAGGGUGCGUAGGUGGGCUUAUAAGUCAGUGGUGAAAUCUCCGAGCUUAACUUGGAAACUGCCGUUGAUACUAUAGGUCUUGAAUUAUCUGGAGGUAAGCGGAAUAUGUCAUGUAGCGGUGAAAUGCUUAGAUAUGACAUAGAACACCAAUUGCGAAGGCAGCUUACUACAUAUAAAUUGACGCUGAGGCACGAAAGCGUGGGGAUCAAACA
rnacentral:rRNA from 1 species